GGGAAACUGCCUGAUGGAGGGGGAUAACUACUGGAAACGGUAGCUAAUACCGCAUAACGUCGCAAGACCAAAGAGGGGGACCUUCGGGCCUCUUGCCAUCAGAUGUGCCCAGAUGGGAUUAGCUAGUAGGUGGGGUAACGGCUCACCUAGGCGACGAUCCCUUGCUGGUCUGAGAGGAUGACCAGCCACACUGGAACUGAGACACGGUCCAGACUCCUACGGGAGGCAGCAGUGGGGAAUAUUGCACAAUGGGCGCAAGCCUGAUGCAGCCAUGCCGCGUGUAUGAAGAAGGCCUUCGGGUUGUAAAGUACUUUCAGCGAGGAGGAAGGUGUUGAGGUUAAUAACCUCAGCAAUUGACGUUACUCGCAGAAGAAGCACCGGCUAACUCCGUGCCAGCAGCCGCGGUAAUACGGAGGGUGCAAGCGUUAAUCGGAAUUACUGGGCGUAAAGCGCACGCAGGCGGUCUGUCAAGUCGGAUGUGAAAUCCCCGGGCUCAACCUGGGAACUGCAUUCGAAACUGGCAGGCUAGAGUCUUGUAGAGGGGGGUAGAAUUCCAGGU
rnacentral:rRNA from 1 species